AUACGGAAGGUGCAAGCGUUAUCCGGAAUCACUGGGUUUAAAGGGUGCGUAGGCGGCCCCGUCAGUCAGAGGUGAAAUCCUACGGCUUAACCGUAGCAUUGCCUUUGAUACUGCGAGGCUUGAAUCAGGCUGAGGUCAGCGGAAUGUGACAUGUAGCGGUGAAAUGCAUAGAUAUGUCAUAGAACACCAAUUGCGAAGGCAGCUGACUAGACCUGGAUUGACGCUGAGGCACGAAAGCGUGGGGAGCGAACAGGAUUAGAUACCCCGGUAGUCC
rnacentral:rRNA from 1 species